CCUACGGGAGGCAGCAGUGGGGAAUAUUGGACAAUGGGCGGAAGCCUGAUCCAGCCAUGCCGCGUGUGUGAAGAAGGCCUUUUGGUUGUAAAGCACUUUAAGCGAGGAGGAGGCUACUAGUAUUAAUACUACUGGAUAGUGGACGUUACUCGCAGAAUAAGCACCGGCUAACUCUGUGCCAGCAGCCGCGGUAAUACAGAGGGUGCGAGCGUUAAUCGGAUUUACUGGGCGUAAAGCGUGCGUAGGCGGCUGAUUAAGUCGGAUGUGAAAUCCCUGAGCUUAACUUAGGAAUUGCAUUCGAUACUGGUCAGCUAGAGUAUGGGAGAGGAUGGUAGAAUUCCAGGUGUAGCGGUGAAAUGCGUAGAGAUCUGGAGGAAUACCGAUGGCGAAGGCAGCCAUCUGGCCUAAUACUGACGCUGAGGUACGAAAGCANGGAGACAACAGAUAG
rnacentral:rRNA from 1 species